AUUGAACGCUGGCGGCAGGCCUAACACAUGCAAGUCGAACGAGUGGCGGACGGGUGAGUAAUGUCUGGGAAACUGCCCGAUGGAGGGGGAUAACUACUGGAAACGGUAGCUAAUACCGCAUACCAUCGGAUGUGCCCAGAUGGGAUUAGCUUGUAGGUGAGGUAACGGCUCACCUAGGCGACGAUCCCUAGCUGGUCUGAGAGGAUGACCAGCCAAACUGGAACGGAGACACGGCCCAGACUCCUACGGGAGGCAGCAGUGGGGAAUAUUGCACAAUGGGCGCAAGCCUGAUGCAGCCAUGCCGCGUGUAUGAAGAAGGCCUUAGGGUUGUAAAGUACUUUCAGUCGGGAGGCGUUACCCACAGAAGAAGCACCGGCUAACUCAGUGCCAGCAGCCGCGGUAAUAC
rnacentral:rRNA from 1 species